rnacentral:rRNA from 1 species
GACGAACCGUGCGAACGUUGUUCGGAUUCACUGGGCUUAAAGGGCGCGUAGGCGGGUUAUCAAGUCAGGGGUGAAAGCCUCCAGCUUAACUGGAGAAGUGCCUUUGAUACUGGUGAUCUUGAGUGAGGUAGGGGCAUGUGGAACUUCCGGUGGAGCGGUGAAAUGCGUAGAUAUCGGAAGGAACGCCGGUGGCGAAAGCGACGUGCUGGACCUCUUCUGACGCUGAGGCGCGAAAGCUAGGGGAGCAAACGGG